rnacentral:lncRNA from 1 species
CACGGCUGCUACUCUGAAACCUGUCAUUAAGGAAGUGUUCCAGUGUGUAUUAUGAUUUCACUUUGCGCUGGUAUCAGAAUAGAAUACAAUUUGCUAACUGGGUUAAAAGACAGUCUGCUGUCACUUUCAUGCCUGUAGUUACCAGUGUGUAUCUUCUAUUGAAAUGCAAUUUUUGUAAUUUCGUACAGCAGACCCAUUGGUGAAUGGCAACAGAGUCGUCUCCCCUCCCCCCCCCCCCCGGUUACAUCUUUUUAUAAUGGCGAAUCACAGAGUGAAGAACUAUAUCACAAUUUUAGCCCUCCAAGUGAAGAUCUGUUAAGAAUAUUCCUCUGGCUGCCAGAAGCUAACUCUUUGCAGUAAUCUCCGUGGCCGCACGACAAAGUGCCAGUGGGAUGCUGUGCUGGAGAACUACUGUUACCCAGACGUACUGUCGUUAUUGCCGGUGAAGUACAAUAAAUCGUUGAUGAGCUACAAUACAGUAAAUGGAAUUCCUUCCUACCCUACCAUAACCUUUCAGUUUCCAAUGAGGCCUUAAAAGAGAGAGAGAAAACCAUGCCUUGGACAGACAUGCUGCCUGACUACAGCUGUGCUGUACAGAUUCUGAGGAAAUUUGGAGAAAUCACACCAGAAUGAAAUAAAUACAAAGGGAAAGCAUGUGGCUACGUAGCA